rnacentral:rRNA from 1 species
CUGGAAUGGGCAAUGGCUUAAAUCCAUAUGGCCCCUGGAUUGGACUGCGGCCGAUCAGGCUGUUGGUGAGGUAAUGGCCCACCUAACCUGUAACCGGUACGGGCUCUGAGAGGAGGAGCCCGGAGAAGGGCACCGAGACAAGGGCCCAGGCCCUAUGGGGCGCAGCAGGCGCGAAACCUCUGCAAUAGGCGAAAGCCUGACAGGGUUACUCUGAGUGAUUUCCGUUAAGGAGAUCUUUUGGCACCUCUAAAAAUGGUGCAGAAUAAGGGGUGGGCAAGUCUGGUGUCAGCCGCCGCGGUAAUACCAGCACCCCGAGUGGUCGGGACGUUUAUUGGGCCUAAAGCAUCCGUAGCCGGUUCUGCAAGUCUUCCGUUAAAUCCACCUGCUUAACAGAUGGGCUGCGGAAGAUACUAUAGAGCUAGGAGGCGGGAGAGGCAAGCGGUACUCGAUGGGUAGGGGUAAAAUCCGUUGAUCCAUUGAAGACCACCAGUGGCGAAGGCGGCUUGCCAGAACGCGCUCGACGGUGAGGGAUGAAAGCUGGGGGUGCAAACCGGAUUAGAUACCCGGGUAGUCCCAGCUGUAAACGAUGCAGACUCGGUGAUGAUUUGGCUUUAUGCCAAUUCAGUGCCGCAGGGAAGCCGUUAAGUUUGCCGCCUGGGGAGUACGGUCGCAAGACUGAAACUUAAAGGAAUUGGCGGGGGAGCACCACAAGGGGUGAAGCCUGCGGUUCAAUUGGACUCAACGCCGGU